rnacentral:rRNA from 1 species
AGUGUAGGCGGGAUCGUAAGUUAGGAGUUUAAUACAUGGGCUUAACCCAUGAGCUGCUUUUAGUACUGCGGUUCUUGAGUAUGGGAGAGGGCGAUGGAAUUCCAGGUGUAGCGGUGGAAUGCGUAGAUAUCUGGAAGAACACCAGUAGCAAAGGCGGUCGCCUGGCCCAAUACUGACGCUGAUGCUCGAAAGCUAGGGGAGCAAACAGGAUUAGAUACCCUGGUAGUCCUAGCCGUAAACGAUGGACACUAGUUGCUGGAGGAGUCAAUCCUUUCGGUGACGAAGCUAACGCAUUAAGUGUCCCGCCUGGGGAGUACGUUCGCAAGGAUGAA